GUAAGCAUAUUCGCGCUUUGCCUUUCUUAACCGUGGAAAACAGUAAAAGGAAACUUGCAGGUAUUGAGUAAACCAUGUGACCUCAGCGUUAAGUGUGGUGAUAGCCUUGAAGGUUUACCCCUGGCCUCCAUAUCUUCUAUUGUGCUUGUACAUCUUUGCCCCAGUACACGCACACACACAUGCAAACAAAAUAAGAUAUUUUUCCUAGAAAUAUUUUGCCUUGAAAUGUAAUCACAACACUAUAUAUUUUGGUAAAUGUUUAAUAAUGAAUUAACAUUUUUAAAUUAUAUCUUAUUUAUUUGUGUGGCACAUACACCACUACAUAUUCAUAGUGACCAGGGGAAAACUUGGGAGUUCUCUCCUUCACUGUAUGAGUCGUGGGGAUCAAGCUUAGGUUGUUAGGCUUAGUGGCAGCCUUGACCCAGUGAACCAUUUUACCCGGUCCCUAUUUUUGUUUUCUGAGGCAGAGAAGCCCAUGCUGGCUUUGAACUUGAUAUAAAACUGGGGAUGACCUUGAACUCUUAAUCCUCCUGCUUCUACUUCCCAAUUAUAGGGGUUCGAUACCACAUCGAACUUAAAUCAACUUUCUAGUGAAAAUAGCUGCUUAUCUUGAAUACACAAGUGUUUAAAAGGUGUGGUUCUUUGUCUGUGAGUUUCUUGCCUGCAUAUAUGUUUACCGCCCUGGUCCCUUGCAGUGAUCAGGAGAGGGCAUCAGAUCCCAUGGAUCUGGAGUUAGAGGUAGUCGUAAGCCACCAUGUGGUUACUGAGAAAUGAGCCUGGUCUUCUAGAGCAACAAAUGCCCCUAGCCCCUGAACCAGUUCUUGCAGCCCCUGAAUAUACAUUGUUCACCCAUGGAGAAAGACUCUCCCUCCAUGUCUGUGAGUUGUGGCAGUCCAGAGAUGCCCCUUUCUCUCUGGGUGUCUGCUCUUCUGGAAUGAAGGCUGCUCUAGGAGCUUUCCUCUCCGCUCCCCUGUGCCGUGUAGUCUAUUGCAUAAGCUCAGUCUGUGUGCAAUGUUAUGUCUGUCUGCCCACUGACCAGGUUCCAGUUUAUGAAAGGCAUUUGAGCAGCAAGAUUGAGUCCUCAUUCUCAAAGUAACCAGUGUCUCACAGGUAACAUUUGUCAGAACUGAUCACGUGAUGAUAUAGAACUCUAGCUUUUCCCUCCUGUGUUUCUGGUGUUUGCCAGUGCAGCCCUGACCAUGCUCACAUGUCCCUGCGUGUUCUUCAGGUCUUCCUUGUGAACAGAUGAAAUAAAGGAUCAAAACAAGUAUUUAGAUGCAUUCAUUGUGCAUAUAUAACUGUAUAUGUACAUAUACAUAUUUAUAUGUACUUGGAAGUACUUGGAAGGCACAGGCCAGAGCAUCUCUAAUUUGGAGGCCAACCUGAUCUACAUUUCAGGCUCAGGAUACGUGGACCUUUUCUUUAAAGAGAGAGAGAGAGAGAGAGAGAGAGAGAGAGAGAGAGAGAGAGAGAGAGAGAGAGAGAGAGAGAAGAAAGAAAGAAAAACAUUGUGUGUCAGAUUAAAGAUAUUUUUUUAAUUUAUUUUUUUUGUUAGAUAUUUUCUUCAUUUACAUUUCAAAUGCUAUCCUGAAAGUCCCCUAUACCCUCCCCCCGCCCUAAAGAUAUUUUUUAAAGAGCUGAGAGGAUGGUUAAGUAGUUAAGAUCACUUGCUGUUCCUGCAGAGGACCAGGCUACAGUUCUCAACACCCACAUGAUGGCUCACAGCCAUCUGUAAUUUGAGUUCCAAGACAUCCAAAACCCUUUUCUGCCCUCAGUCAGCACCAGGUAUGCAGUGCACAUACUUACAUACAUGCAGGUAAACUCAAAACACAUAAAAAUAAAACAUAAAUAAAAACAGUAAAAGUAAACCCUUAAGAAACAUUCUUUUUAGCCGGGCGUGGUGGUGCACGCCUUUAAUCCCAGCACUCGGGAGGCAGAGGCAGGCGGAUUUCUGAGUUCGAGGCCAGCCUGGUCUACAAAGUGAGUUCCAGGACAGCCAGGUCUACACAGAGAAACCCUGUCUCGAAAAAAUCCAAAAAGAAUAAAAAGUAUUUUCUUAGCUGUAAUUUCUAGU
rnacentral:lncRNA from 1 species